rnacentral:rRNA from 1 species
AUUGAACGCUGGCGGCAUGCCUUACACAUGCAAGUCGAACGGCAGCACGGGUGCUUGCCCCUGGUGGCGAGUGGCGAACGGGUGAGUAAUACAUCAGAACAUGUCCUGUAGUGGGGGAUAGCCCGGCGAAAGCCGGAUUAAUACCGCAUACGAUCUACGGCUGAAAGCGGGGGACCUUCGGGCCUCGCGCUAUAGGGUUGGCCGAUGGCUGAUUAGCUAGUUGGUGGGGUAAAGGCCUACCAAGGCGACGAUCAGUAGCUGGUCUGAGAGGACGACCAGCCACACUGGGACUGAGACACGGCCCAGACUCCUACGGGAGGCAGCAGUGGGGAAUUUUGGACAAUGGGCGAAAGCCUGAUCCAGCAAUGCCGCGUGUGUGAAGAAGGCCUUCGGGUUGUAAAGCACUUUUGUCCGGAAAGAAAUCCUUGGCUCUAAUACAGUCGGGGGAUGACGGUACCGGAAGAAUAAGCACCGGCUAACUACGUG